rnacentral:rRNA from 1 species
AGAGUUUGAUCAUGGCUCAGGAUAAACGCUGGCGGCGCACAUAAGACAUGCAAGUCGAACGGAAGUCGUUGUAAUGAUGUGGACGCGGACAGAGAACUUGUUCGAAGAAAGUGGAAAUUGACUUACAACAAUGGCUUUAGUGGCGGACUGGUGAGUAACGCGUGGAGCAACCUGCCUGUUAGAGGGGAAUAACAGUGAGAAAUCAUUGCUAAUACCGCAUAUGCCAUAAUAGUCACAUGACUAUAGUGGGAAAGGAGCCAAUCCGCUUAACAGAUGGGCUCGCGUCUGAUUACAUAGUUGGUGGGGUAAACGGCCUACCAAGUCGACGAUCAGUAGCCGGACUGAGAGGUUGAACGGCCACAUUGGGACUGAGAUACGGCCCAGACUCCUACGGGAGGCAGCAGUCGGGAAUAUUGCGCAAUGGAGGAAACUCUGACGCAGUGACGCCGCGUAUAGGGAAGAAGGUCUUCGGAUUGUAAACUAUUGUCGUUAGGGAAGAGAAAGGACAGUACCUAAGGAGGAAGCUCCGGCUAACUACGUGCCAGCAGCCGCGGUAAUACGUAGGGAGCAAGCGUUAUCCGGAUUUAUUGGGUGUAAAGGGUGCGUAGACGGGAAUGCAAGUUGGUUGUGAAAUCCCUCGGCUCAACUGAGGAACUGCAACCAAAACUGUGUUUCUUGAGUGCUGGAGAGGAAAGCGGAAUUCCUAGUGUAGCGGUGAAAUGCGUAGAUAUUAGGAGGAACACCAGUGGCGAAGGCGGCUUUCUGGACAGUAACUGACGUUGAGGCACGAAAGUGUGGGGAGCAAACAGGAUUAGAUACCCUGGUAGUCCACACCGUAAACGAUGAAUACUAGGUGUAGGGUAUAUCAUGUACUCUGUGCCGUCGCAAACGCAAUAAGUAUUCCACCUGGGGAGUACGGCCGCAAGGUUGAAACUCAAAGGAAUUGACGGGGGCCCGCACAAGCAGUGGAGUAUGUGGUUUAAUUCGAAGCAACGCGAAGAACCUUACCAGGGCUUGACAUAUACAGGAAUAACAUAGAAAUAUGUUAGUUCUUCGGAACUUGUAUACAGGUGGUGCAUGGUUGUCGUCAGCUCGUGUCGUGAGAUGUUGGGUUAAGUCCCGCAACGAGCGCAACCCUUGCCUUUAGUUGCCAGCACGUAAUGGUGGGAACUCUAAAGGGACUGCCGGUGAUAAAUCGGAGGAAGGUGGGGACGACGUCAAAUCAUCAUGCCCUUUAUGUCCUGGGCUACACACGUACUACAAUGGCUGUAACAGAGGGAAGCAAGAUAGUGAUAUUAAGCAAAACCCAAAAAGCAGUCUCAGUUCGGAUUGAAGGCUGAAAUUCGCCUUCAUGAAGCCGGAAUUGCUAGUAAUGGCAGGUCAGCAUACUGCCGUGAAUACGUUCCCGGGCCUUGUACACACCGCCCGUCACACCAUGAGAGUUGGGGAUACCCGAAGCCUGUGAGCCAACUGAAAAGAGGCAGCAGUCGAAGGUAGAAUCAAUGAUUGGGGUGAAGUCGUAACAAGGUAGCCGUAUCGGAAGGUGCGGCUGGAGCACCUCCUU